rnacentral:lncRNA from 1 species
UCACAGUAUUGAAAACUUCCAAUGUAUUGUGCCAAUGCAUGGUUUCGAACCUGCAAGUCUUUGUUUACUGGCAUUGGCUGUCAGUCUCAUCCCAGUUGAUUUCAACAGUAAAUACCAAAUAUGAAAAUUAUACCUAAAGUUUAUCUUCGGUUGGUUCAUAAGUUGGAUCAAAACCUUCUUGGUUUAUCAGCCCUCCCAAUUUCCCUCUGUCCCAGGCUUACUUUUUCGAACAAAACCUCAGAGUCAGUUUUGAUCCUUCACAACAAGCCUGAUCAAACGGAUAGCCCCAGAAAAUGACAAAUCUUUAGGGGCACCUGUGUCUUGGAGCUCAGACGGAGCGCAAAAUAACGUUUGUCUGUGUUGUGAUACAUAAACAUGUUGCCAGAUGAAAGUUAACUCCAUUAUGAGAUUUAUGGAUUGCAAGACUUAAAGUAAUAAACAAAACAUUUGUUUUUCUUGUAAAAUAUGUUUGUCUCAUCUUGUGAUCCUGAAAAGCUGACCAUGAUGUCCAUGCAGACCAGAGACUGAAGGGUGAUCAAACUGGACAAACAGACCACGGUCUGUAGUGUGAUCAAACUGGACAAACAGACCAUGGCCUGUACUGUGAUCAAACUGGACAAACAGACCAUGGUCUGUAGUGUGAUCAAAUUGGACAAACAGACCAUGGUCUGUACUAUUAUCAAACUGGACAAACAGACCAUGGUCUGUAGUGUGAUCAAACUGGACAAACAGACCACGGCCUGUACUGUGAUCAAACAGGACAAACACCACGGCCUGUACUGUGAUCAAACUGGACAAACAGACCACAGUUUGUAGUGUGAUCAAACUGGACAAACGGACAAUGGUCUGUAGUGUGAUCAAACUGGACAAACAGACCAUGGCCUGUAGUGUGAUCAAAAUGGGACCAGACAGACCAUUCUGUGUAGUGUGAUCAAGGUGAGCCCCGACCGACCACACCCUGUAGUGUGAUCAAACUGGACAAACAGACCACGGCCUGUAGUGUGAUCAAGGUGGGCCCAGACAGACCACACCCUGUAGUGUGAUCAAGGUGGGCCCAAACAGACCACACCCUGUAGUGUGAUCAAGGUGGGCCCAAACAGACCACACCCUGUAGUGUGAUCAAGGUGGGCCCAGACAGACCACACCCUGUAGUAUGAUCAAGGUGGGCCCAGACAGACCACACCCUGUAGUGUGAUCAAGGUGGGCCCAAACAGACCACACCCAGUAGUGUGAUCAAGGUGGGCCCAAACAGACCACACCCUGUAGUGUGAUCAAGGUGGGCCCAGACAGACCACACCCUGUAAUGUGAUCAAGGUGGGCCCAGACAGACCACACCCUGUAGUGUGAUCAAGGUGGGCCCAGACAGACCACACCCUGUAGUGUGAUCAAGGUGGGCCCAGACAGACCACACCCUGUAGUGUGAUCAAGGUGGGCCCAGACAGACCACACCCUGUAGUGUGAUCAAGGUGGGCCCAGACAGACCACACCCUGUAGUGUGAUCAAGGUGGGCCCAGACAGACCACACCCUGUAGUGUGAUCAAGGUGGGCCCAGACAGACCACACCCUGUAGUGUGAUCAAGGUGGGCCCAGACAGACCACACCCUGUAAUGUGAUCAAGGUGAGCCCAGACAGACCAUACCCAGUAGUGUG